AAUGAACGUUGGCGGCGUGGAUUAGGCAUGCAAGUCGAGCGCGAACCCCGCAAGGGGGGAGAGCGGCAAACGGGGUAGUAACGGGUAGGUGACGUACCCUCGGGUUGGGGAUAGCCACGGGAAACUGUGGGUAAUACCCAAUAAUCUCCUGGAGUGUAAUGACUUCGGGAGCAAAGGUGUGAUUCCACCGGAGGAGCGGCCUGCCUCGUAUUAGCUAGUUGGUGAGGUAACGGCUCACCAAGGCUUCGAUGCGUAGGGGGUGUGAGAGCAUGACCCCCACCACUGGGACUGAGAUACUGCCCAGACACCUACGGGUGGCUGCAGUCGAGAAUCUUCGGCAAUGGGCGCAAGCCUGACCGAGCGACGCCGCGUGUGGGAUGAAGGCCCUUGGGUUGUAAACCACUGUCAGAGGGGAUGAAGUGCCAGCCAGUUAUCUGGUUGGUUUGACAUAGCCUCAGAGGAAGCACGGGCUAAGUUCGUGCCAGCCGCCGCAGUAAUAC
rnacentral:rRNA from 1 species